rnacentral:rRNA from 1 species
GACGAAGGAUGCAAGCGUUAUCCGGAUUCAUUGGGUUUAAAGGGAGCGUAGGUGGCCUUAUAAGUCAGUGGUGAAAUCUUCGAGCUUAACUCGGAAAUUGCCAUUGAUACUGUAGGGCUUGAGUAUAGUUGCCGUUGGCGGAAUAUGACAUGUAGUGGUGAAAUACAUAGAGAUGUCAUAGAACACCGAUUGCGAAGGCAGCUGACGAAACUAUAACUGACACUGAGGCUCGAAAGUGCGGGGAGCAAACAGG